CUUGGAUCUUAGAAUCUGCACAUCACAAUGGGGCUGUGUCCAAGCUGCAGACAAGACUGUGUAGCCACUUACCGAGCCAGCUUCAGGGACAAGCCUACAUUGGGCUCGGUCUCAAAUAGGUACUGCUGCCUGUAGAAGGACAUGACCCUGGUGGGCUACUGCAUUGCCACAGAAGUGGAGGCAUUGCAUCACUUCCAUUCCCAAGGGGUCAGCAUCAGCCCCUGUCUGCAGUGUCCCACAGGCUUGGCCUCCUCUCUCCUCCUUCAUCAUUUAUCUGAUUCCCCUUCCUUGUUAUACGUUUUGCCUCCAUAAAAAGAGAGAGUACAUGCAUGCACGAGUGGGAGAGGAGCAGAGACAGGCAGAGAGAGAAUCCCAAGCAGACUCCACACUCAGCACAGAGGCUGACACGGGGCUCCAUCCCACAACCAUGAGAUCAUGACCAUCUUAAAGUAUCUCUGAGCAAACAGGGUAACUUUCUUUAUUUUCAGUAACUUAAGGAAUCAAGUACAUGACAAUAUCCAAGGGAGGAAGAAGGGAGAAGACCAUUAAAUACUAACUUAGGUGAACUUCCAACUUCUAGAACUUUGUCUCUAGGGAAGGACAAGAUUUCCUGAAAGGUCGUUCCUCCCCUUAGUUGAGCCUUUUAAAACAAGAAAGAAAUGAAUUUCACAGGAGUGUGGACUGUUAACUAAAUUUUCAGGCAAGAUUGUUUUGAUUAAAAUUAUCAUGGUAACAAUACCUGAGUGAAAAGUGGUUCUUCUGUUUAUUUUUCUUCCACUAUAAGCACAAUCUGUGGGUUUUGUUUGCUUGUUUGUUCCUUUUUACUCACCUAAUUGCAUUUCCAAGCUGGAAAAUAUACAUUUAGCUAUAGAAUAGGAUUCUCUGGGUUUCUUAUUAUCAACUAAAAAUGUAACUGAGGAUGAGGAUCCUGUUCAGCUGCAGUUUGGGGGUGCUUUGUGGCAGUUAACAUGGGAGGAGAAGGGUAAGUUGACAGUCCACCGAAAUGGAAGGGCUGAUAAGGCAGUCUCUUCACCAGGCUGUGAUGCAACUGGUCUGGACAUGCCAAACUUUGGAUUUUCUACGGUACCGAGGUUAGGAGGAGAGAAUAGGAAGUGGACAUCAUGGCAAAUACAAAGAGGACAAAAGAGCAUUUUUCCAUUACCUCAAGCCUUUCCCAGAUACCUUAUAAGUAACGCAGAUGAAUAACUGGAUUCCCUCCUUCCUUGCUUUGCCAUACUCUUGGGGAGUCUUACAAGGGAGUAGGGACCCAGAUAAACCUCGAACUGGUAGUCUACAUUCGUUGUGUCUUAUAAUCUUUCCAGUCCAAUAGGUGGUGGGGGUGUGAACCAAACUUACUGUAUAUAUCUUAAUCUCAAAGUAGAAAUAGCAGCCUUGAGUUCUGGAAGUAGAACACAGUGAUAAUGUGAGUCCGAAUGUUUUGAUAUAAAAAGGGAGUGUUGAUUAUUUCCCCUGCAUGAGGUAAACAUCACCUGGAAUCUAGAUGUGUGGACAAAAUGAAAGAUACCAAUUAAGACUCGUUAUCAUUAGCCUUGUGACUCCAAUAGACAAACUAAACAUUCCCUUUGUGCAAUGAGAACAGUCAUAAUAGAAAGAAGAGGGUAGCCUGGGCAAAAUGCUGAUGCUCUCUGUGGGCUUCCUCUCUGAGUCCUUUUUCCCACUCUCACUUGUCACACACACAAGCUAAUUGUAGCUAAGAUGUCAGUUUCAAAGUUUAAGGUUUGACUUUCACAACCGUGACAUUUAAGUAAGGGUCCUUUGAAGCCCAAGAGUUUUCCAAAUGUGGAUGUGAACAGCUGAACUUAGAUACUAAUAGCUCUUGCAUGUGGGUUGGCAGAAGGAUGGAGGCAGGACCACUAAGACAGGAAGGUGGGGAUGGCCAGGCUAGUAUGGAUCUGUCAGGGCUAAUGAGUAUAAGGAGCAGAGUAAUGUUUUCAAAUACCACCCAAUAUCUUUUCUGUGCAAUGCAGGUGGGUUCCCCCCCGCCCCUUUUUAGCUUUUCACUAUAAAGACCAAUUGAUGAAAGCAACAAACUGAAGUAAUAUCUAAAGAAAACUUGUUUGAACUUUUUUUCUAGUGAGACUCUUUUUUUCUCCUGAUAACCUAACUUUUCAAUGGUUUUCUUAAAUAUCCCAUAACUGAGUUUUCACACAUCAAGAUCUAACGCUUGAAGAUCAGAUAAGGAGGGGAAAGGACAAAGUUCAGAAGGAAAAAUCUCAUCCAGAGUCUAGAGGAAGAGAACUAGUAAUAAAGCAAGUCUCCUGGAAGUCUGCAGAAGAGCAGGCUCUGGAAAAUUGAAGUCAGUGGGACAAAUUAUCUUCUUUCCCUGUGAGAAACUUCCAGCCUGCCAAUCCUGCCUCCAGUCCAGCCUGGGCAAGGAUCAUUCUGACUGUUGGUGGUGAAAAGAACAUAAGGAGGUAUGAGAGGCAUCCAUUACCCUGAAUUCCUAUUCUUCCAGGCCAGGAAAUUGGUAAGAGGGCUAGGACAGGGAGGUAGGGUGCAGGUGGUGAAAUAUGGAAUCUAGAUGAUUAUUUAUAAAAGAUUUUUUUACAUAAUUAUGGUAAUCUGCCUUUUAUUUGUUAUUUUGUUGAAAAUAUAUUGCUGGUUAUCAUUUAACUUUUAAAUUUGUAUAUGCUUUUUGACAUAUGAUUUUUGACUUAACAUUUCUAUGUAUC